GUGCAGCAGGCGCGAAAAUUUUACAAUGCUGGAAAUAGCGAUAAGGGAACUUUGAGUGCCGAGAUACAAUCUUGGCUGUCUAGUUGCCUAAAAAGCAAUUGAUAGCAAGGGCCGGGCAAGACCGGUGCCAGCCGCCGCGGUAACACCGGCGGCUCGAGUGGUAACCGCUAUUAUUGGGUCUAAAGGGUCUGUAGCCGGUUUGGUUAGUCUCUUGAGAAAUCCGGCAGCUCAACUGUCGGGCUUUCAGGAGAUACUGCNNGACUCGAGACCGGGAGANGUGANANGUACUUCAGGGGUAGGG
rnacentral:rRNA from 1 species